rnacentral:ncRNA from 1 species
GAAAGCCGUGUGAGGGAGAACCUCAUGCACGGUUUGAUGUGGCAGGUGAUGGAAUCGUGAAUAGCGCGCCAUCACUUGACCCUAC